rnacentral:rRNA from 1 species
GAUGAACGCUAGCGGGAGGCUUAACACAUGCAAGUCGAGGGGCAGCACGAGGUAGCAAUACUUUGGUGGCGACCGGCGCACGGGUGAGUAACGCGUAUGCAACCUACCCUGUACAGGGGGAUAACCCGGAGAAAUUCGGACUAAUACCCCAUAAAGAUAUUUAGAGGCAUCUUUGAAUAUUUAAAGUUCCGGCGGUACGGGAUGGGCAUGCGUAACAUUAGCUAGUUGGUAAGGUAACGGCUUACCAAGGCAACGAUGUUUAGGGGUCCUGAGAGGGUGAUCCCCCACACUGGUACUGAGACAUGGACCAGACUCCUACGGGAGGCAGCAGUGAGGAAUAUUGGUCAAUGGGCGCAAGCCUGAACCAGCCAUCCCGCGUGAAGGAAGAAUGCGCUAUGCGUUGUAAACUUCUUUUCCAGGGGAAUAAAAUUUUGUACGUGUACGGAAUUGAAGGUACCCUGGGAAUAAGCAUCGGCUAACUCCGUGCCAGCCGCCGCGGUAAGAC